rnacentral:rRNA from 1 species
CCUACGGGUGGCAGCAGUGAGGAAUAUUGGUCAAUGGACGAGAGUCUGAACCAGCCAAGUAGCGUGAAGGAUGACUGCCCUAUGGGUUGUAAACUUCUUUUAUAUGGGAAUAAAACGUUCCACGUGUGGGAUUUUGUAUGUACCAUAUGAAUAAGGAUCGGCUAACUCCGUGCCAGCAGCCGCGGUAAUACGGAGGAUCCGAGCGUUAUCCGGAUUUAUUGGGUUUAAAGGGAGCGUCGGUGGAUUGUUAAGUCAGUUGUGAAAGUUUGCGGCUCAACCGUAAAAUUGCAGUUGAAACUGGCAGUCUUGAGUACAGUAGAGGUGGGCGGAAUUCGUGGUGUAGCGGUGAAAUGCUUAGAUAUCACGAAGAACUCCGAUUGCGAAGGCAGUUCACUGGACUGCAACUGACACUGAGGCUCGAAAGUGUGGGUAUCAAACAGGAUUAGAUACCCUUGUAGUC